GAUAAAAAUGUUGGGAAAUAUGCUGAGAGCACUUAGAACUUUCAAAAUCAAGCAGUGAUUUACAAUUUACUGCACGUUAUAAUACUGCUAAAAUGGCUUCUUCUCCAGCUUCUAGUGAAAUUACCGUAAUGACCCAAUAAAGCCUAUAAAGCGCAACAUCUCAGGUUUCCGAAACAGUUGGAGUUUUUCCAAUCGCACAAACAGUGAAAGAGUUACAUCCAUCCAAACUGUAUAUGCACAGGGUGUGUCAGCGGUGACACGUCAGGUUUUAAAGAGUUAAACAUGCACAUAUCUUCAGACUUGUUAAAAUGAGGUCUUUUCUGAAACUUUUGGAUCUAUUUUUUUGCUAUUUGCUUAUUUCCACAGUCUGAUAGGACAACAAACGACAACUUUAUCAACUUGUAGAAUUAUCUUUUUAUUCACAAACACUAUAUUGUGUAAAUGACAUAAAUCAAAUGGAAGUAAAAACUUACUUGUCUUCCUUGUGAACAUACACAUUUUUUUCCCACAAUCCAAAGGGGCAGGACUUCAGCUCUUAGUACUCAAUAGUAAAAUGCUACUUUACAACAAACCAUGCUUUUAUUUUACUCCUAAAUGUAGCAGAAUGUCAAAAUCAAACAGCGAUAACAGUGUUUUUUUUUAAUAUUACUUAAAAAUGUCACUUUGUUGAAACCAGCCCAGGCUUCUGUUUGACCCUUUUUUUUUUUACUUCCAUGCUUUUAGCUAAAACAUAGCGACUCUGGAGUUGACUUCACAGCAGAUCAUAAGCGUAACAUAUUGAUCUUUAAAUCCCAGUGGUAUUCCUGUAGCUGCUCUAUUCUAUAACAUUGUAAUCUAUCAGGUACCUGCAAAUGCAGCCACGUGCAUGGCACUUUGGGUCACAGCAGGACUGUUUUUUUGCAUCAUUUUUGGCUUUCACCUCGUCUGCCUGUUUUAAAGUCUGUAACUAAGUUGUAGUUGCUAGUGUGCACUUGUUGUCUUAUUAGCGAUCAAUCACGCCAUAACACUAGAGACUACACUACAUAAACUAUUUAUUGGAUUAUUAAUCCAUUCAUGUAGCCAAAACCCAGUGCAUUAUUAUCUGAUGCCCAUUCACUAUGUAUAAAGAUUGUGAUGUUUUAUCCCUGGGGGGGUUUGUGAUGGUGGUGGGUUGUACAAAGGAUCGAUAGACAAUAUAAGUCAGAGUUUAUAUUCCUCAUAAUAUAUACAUAACUCAUAGAUGUCAUGAUUUAGGGAUUCAUUGUAACGAAACAAAUCUGUUAAAAGGCGUUUAUUUCUGUACAGAAGUGGAACCAGAAAAUGCAGACGGUCUGUUUUUGCUCCCCAUCCGUUUUUUUUAAAAAAAAGUAGUCUGUAGGCACCCACGUCGCAAAAACGUAGGUCUCAUUAUCCUUUUAUCAUAUCUAAGAACGGGAUAAGAUGAGACGCAACGGUUCAGCAGUUACAGUUUGAGAUGUUUAUGACAACUGUGGCAGCGGCGUUCAGACUUAAAGAGCUUUGGGAAGUUUUAUAGCAGCUGUCGCAAAACCACAGAUAAGAAAAAAAUAAAAUAAAAUCAAGUUUCAGUGGUGUCCAACCCUGGUCAAGACACUCGUCGCGCAUUUGCCAUUAAAGAAAAAGUGCUGUGUCCAAAUGUCAUAAUAAGGGAAAACGUUUUAUGUCGACUCAUGUUCUUCUCUAGCUUUCUGCGUGUUUCUAAUAUUGUCCUGUUUUUUUUUUUAUUCGGUAUUUUUAUCAGUGUACAGAAGUGAGUAUGAUUAAGGAAUGCAGUAUUGCAUGACAACGCUAAUGCAUGUAUUUCAUUAACUAUGCAAGAGUCUGCAGCUCUGUACAGUAGAAAGCAGAGCAUGGCUGGUAUAUCCGAUUGCCUAAUUUGCACACCAUUCCGAUAUUUAGAAACUGUAAAUUACAGAAUAUUUCAUCUGUACAGUGAAAAGAAUUAAACUUAAAAAUUUAAUUAACUUUUUUUUUUUUUUUAAAUUCCGCCAAUUUUUUUUUUUUUAUUUGUAUUCUCCUGAUACAUGCUCUCUGGGUGCUCCUACUAAACCAGUAGGUUACUUUUUUUUUUUUUUUUUGUUCUUUAAGAUUUCCUGUUGUUCACCAGCAGAGACAACACUCUGGAUGCGAUAAUCUCAACUAAAAUAUCCUCAUAUAUGUAUGUAUUGUGAAAAAAAAAACAAAAAACAGCCUUCCAUUGAGUCAUCGGUCAUAUUUUGUGAUAUGUAUCAGCUGCAUCCACUAAACAUACAAUACACAACAAAGGCAAUAAAAGAUAGUAUUUAUAGUUUUGUAUAACAGUAUCUAAUAAACAGUGACAGUAAGAUUUAAAUAUCGGGUCCAUACGUUUUGUAUUUACGCCACAUCGUUCAUUUCAUUCGUCAUGUGAUCUUUAUGACAUACUGGCAGUUUAUCAAACUUCCACACGGGCUUUAAAGCAGCACGUCUGUUCCGAUGACAAGUGAAGUGGUCAUGAAACACUGAUCCGUCACAAAGGCGUCCUCGGCAGAACAUAAUUAAGAUUAGAGAUUUUUGUCGACCACGUCUCUUCUCAAAGUGAAAGCUGUAAUUAAGUGUUUUGUCUUUAUUGCGAGAUCAAAACUGGAAUGAACCACCUCUGUUCUAAAAACAAAACAGUCGGUUAUUAGCAAGAAAUGGAGCCCCCUUGUAUUAAACGCACAGAAUUAAAGUAAACAUAGUUAGAAAAUCUAUGAAUUUAGGGUAAAUCUCUAAACAACACUACAAAUAAAAUGAAACCAGGAAGCUUUAUGAUGUGUGAAUGUCAUUUCCAACCAACUGGAGGUGUUUUCUUUUAAGACGUUUUUGUGCUAACAUUAAAAAAAAAAAACAAAAAAACAUCUGUCUUCUUUUCUCAUGUUGUGCAAGCACUAAUCAUUUGUAAAUUACAGUAUGUUGCAUUUGAGAAUCUGUCAACUUUGGAUCUUUUCUAUAAUUUGACAUUAGGGCCUGUACUUCUGCGUUCGCCUGUUCACUUUAUCUUUUUUAAGAUGUUAUAUAAUUUUUUUUCAUAUUUCUUGCAAAAUGUUUUGCCAUUUAUGCAGCUCAACACAAGUACAUUAGACUGUGUCAAAGUCUUCUAUGUUAAUUUAUUUCUUUUUUUUUUAAUUUUUAUUAUUAUUAUGUAUGCACUUUUGAUGUUUCUCUUUUAUUUUUCCUAAAGGACAAAUGUGUAUAUACUUUGUUGGUUUACCCAUGCAAAAUGAAAAAUCUGAUUAAAAAUACUGAAACUGU